rnacentral:rRNA from 1 species
GUCUACAGCCAUGCUACUCUGAACUAGCCAGAUCCUGACUGAUCUUGGAAGCUAAGCAGGGUCUGGCCUGCUUAGCACUUGGAUGGAGGACCACCUAGGUAGACUAGGUGUUGUAGGUG